GAUGAAGAACGUAGCGAAAUGCGAUAAGUAAUGUGAAUUGCAGAAUUCAGUGAAUCAUCGAAUCUUUGAACGCACAUUGCGCCCGCCAGUAUUCUGGCGGGCAUGCCUGUCCGAGCGUCAUUUCAACCCUCGAACCCCUCCGGGGGGUCGGCGUUGGGGAUCGGCCCUGCCUCUUGGCGGUGGUCGUCUCCGAAAUACAGUGGCGGUCUCGCCGCAGCCUCUCCUGCGCAGUAGUUUGCACACUCGCAUCGGGAGCGCGGCGCGUCCACAGCCGUUAAACACCCAACUUCUGAAAUGUUGACCUCGGAUCAGGUAGGAAUACCCGCUGAACUUAAGCAUAUCAAUAAGCGGAGGA
rnacentral:misc_RNA from 1 species